rnacentral:rRNA from 1 species
CAGCAGCCACGGUAAUACCGAGGGUGCAAGCGUUAAUCGGAAUUACUGGGCGUAAAGCGCGCGUAGGUGGUUUGUUAAGUUGGAUGUGAAAGCCCCGGGCUCAACCUGGGAACUGCAUCCAAAACUGGCAAGCUAGAGUACGGUAGAGGGUGGUGGAAUUUCCUGUGUAGCGGUGAAAUGCGUAGAUAUAGGAAGGAACACCAGUGGCGAAGGCGACCACCUGGACUGAUACUGACACUGAGGUGCGAAAGCGUGGGGAGCAAACAGGAUUAGAUACCCGCGUAGUCCCUGUCUCUUAUAC